rnacentral:rRNA from 1 species
CUUUAAAGUUUUGAUUCUGGCUCAGGAUGAACGCUGGCGGUCUGCUUAACACAUGCAAGUCGAACGGGGGUAGAAAUACCCAAGUGGCGGACGGGUGAGUAACACGUGAGAAUCUAGCUUCAGGUUCGGGACAACAGAGGGAAACCGCUGCUAAUACCGGAUAGGCCGAAAGGUAAAAGAUUAAUCGCCAGAAGAUGAGCUCGCGGCCGAUUAGCUAGUUGGUGGGGUUAUAGCCUACCAAGGCGACGAUCGGUAGCUGGUCUGAGAGGACGAUCAGCCACACUGGGACUGAGACACGGCCCAGACUCCUACGGGAGGCAGCAGUGGGGAAUUUUCCGCAAUGGGCGAAAGCCUGACGGAGCAAGACCGCGUGAGGGAGGAAGGCUCUUGGGUUGUAAACCUCUUUUAUCAGGGAAUAAUCAAUGAAGGUACCUGAGGAAUCAGCAUCGGCUAACUCCGUGCCAGCAGCCGCGGUAAUACGGAGGAUGCAAGCGUUAUCCGGAAUCAUUGGGCGUAAAGCGUCCGCAGGUGGUAGUUCAAGUCGAUUGUCAAAGGCAGUAGCUUAACUACUGACAGGCAGUGGAAACUGAAAGACUAGAGUGCGGUAGGGGUAGAGGGAAUUCCCGGUGUAGCGGUGAAAUGCGUAGAGAUCGGGAAGAACACCAGUGGCGAAAGCGCUCUGCUGGACCGGCACUGACACUGAGGGACGAAAGCUAGGGGAGCGAAUGGGAUUAGAUACCCCAGUAGUCCUAGCCGUAAACGAUGGAUACUAGGUGUGGCAAGUAUCGACCCUUGCCGUGCCGCAGCUAACGCGUUAAGUUUCCCGCCGU